CCCUUAGAUGUUCUGGGUCGCACGCGCGCUACACUGAUGCAUUCAACGAGUUACCUUGGCCGAGAGGCCUGGGCAAUCUUUUGAACGUGCAUCGUGAUAGGGAUAGAUUAUUGCAAUUAUUAAUCUUGAACGAGGAAUUCCUAGUAAACGCAGUUCAUCAAACUGCAUUGAUUACGUCCCUGCCCUUUGUACACACCGCCCGUCGCACCUACCGAUUGGAUGGUCCGGUGAAGCCUCGGGAUUGUGGCCAGUGCCUUUUUGGUUUUGGUUGCGAGAACUUGUCUAAACCUUAUCAUCUAGAGGAAGGUGAAGUCGUAACA
rnacentral:rRNA from 1 species